UACGGAGGGUGCGAGCGUUGUUCGGAAUCACUGGGCGUAAAGCGCGUGUAGGCGGCCCAUUAAGUCUGAUGUGAAAGCCCGGGGCUCACCCCCGGAAGUGCAUUGGAAACUGAUGGACUCGAGUCCCGGAGAGGAGAGUGGAAUUCCUGGUGUAGCGGUGAAAUGCGUAGAUAUCGGGAGGAACACCAGUGGCGAAGGCGACUUCCUGGCCUGUUCUUGACGCUGAGGCGCGAAAGCUAGGGGAGCAAACGGG
rnacentral:rRNA from 1 species